AGAGGCAUGAAGAUACUGGGCUCUGCUCACCCAGAAGAGGCAGGGAAGGUCUCCUAUGUCUCUUCAGGUCAAGAAGUAACUUAAGCAUUUUUGGUAUUGUGACUUAGAUUUCAAGGCUCUCCCACAUUCAGGACAUGCUUUUAUAGACAUAGAAAAUAUUCAAAAGUACUCAGCAAUAAUUUCUAGUCUGCUGCUACUGUUUAAGUAACAAACAGAAGUGCAAAAUGGCCAACUGUUGCAUGACCCACCUGAGGUAGUUGCAGAAUCCCAGCCUGGAGAUCUGACUUCUCCUCCUGAGAUUUAAGCAGCAAGGGAUCCUUGCUACUGCACUUUGAUCACUUCCAUUGACAGUGUUACCACACAGAAGCACACCAUAGUCCCAGUAAGAUCUUCCUUCCUUUCCCCUUCCCUUUACAUAAGAUUUCGAAGAACUCACAGUUCCAUUUCAUUUUUGCCCAAGAGCUGUUAGUCUUAAAAGUUUCUAAAUUUAGGUUCACAGCCUUCAUUGAAAGAUAUCUGAAACCCUUCUAACAUAUCAAGUGCUUCAGAAACAGAUUUGUCAUACCUAAGGCCCCUUUCUAGACACCUUCAUUUUCACUGCAAAUAUGGAACAAAGUGGUGUUCAAAUCUUGAUCAGCGGGUUUCCACAUUUCUUUGCAUUUCAGCUCUGAUGCAGCAUUUGAACACAAUUCGAUUCCCCUGAGUGAUGAGUUUUGUUUUCACACAGUUUGAGGCUCUUCUGCACAAAGAUUGACUGUGACCCUCCCUAUAGUGUUACAACUCCUCUUACAAACUCAUUAAAAAAUACUAGAUAAGCUCAGUCCUGUACAGGAAAAUUGUAGGAAUGCAUUUGCUCUGUCUCACCAGCCUGUUCACAGCUAUGUCUCUUUUAAAGUCUGUUCUUUUAGCACUUCUCACUUUUAGCAUGAGGUCCACAUUCAAAAGGUUAUUGACAAUUUUUACUUUUGGCAUAAUUUCAAACACUUUGUCAAAAUCCUGCCAGACAAAAUGCAGGAUACACAAAAGCCAAACCCAGACAUUUUAUCCAGAGAGUACAUUACCUCACUCAUAAGGUGACCCUCACUGUACUGUCACUACCAGCUUACCCCCUCUCAACCCUUUCCCUGGGGAAGCAGGAAUUGUUCCCUGCACCACCUGUGCACAAACACCUGGCUCCUCUCUUGGAGAGGGUUUCACUAAGGCAGCAGGAUCUGUGCAGCCACAUGCAGGCAGCUGGGAAACCAGGACCUUAAAAUGUGAGCAGCUGCUGUUCCUGGUCUGGCUCAAUGUUAGUGUGGGGCAGGACAGCUGCCUGCAAGGCCACAUCUACUCUGCCAGAGAUUUGCUGCUCCUUACUCACAGCUCCCCUUUGCCUAAACAUCCCUCAGAUUUACUACACGGAAACUCACAGCAGAAGUCAGCUGUUGUCCCUCUUUACCUUUGUGCGGUGCCAGUGAAAAACAAGGUUGUUCUGGGAAGAUGCCAUGUAUCUUACAGCCCUCCUGAGGUUACCGGCAGUUGGGGUAGGCAGAUGGCCCUCCUGAGAGAUGUUAAUAAGGACUGGGAGCAGGGAGGAAUGAUACAAUGCCGCAAUUAACAAAUGACAGAGAGGAGCAGCAGAGCCUACAGAAGUUCCCAAUCUACAUAAAUAAUCUAAGGGGCAUGAGCUUAAUAGCUGAGAACAUAUGCAUGUUAAUUGCAUAUUACGCUGCCAGAAUGGGGAGAAAAAACCCUCCUUGUUCAUAGAACUGCCUCUGUCCUACCUCAGUGCCCAGAAAGGAACUCUAUAAAGCUCAGCACAGUGUCCUUGCUGUGCCAUCCAGGCAGUGGCAAUUCUGGCACCAGUUGACUCUCACAGCCCCCAACAGGGCUGCUAUAUCAACACUUAAUACAGUAUCUUUAUACCUUUUCUGCAAGGGACCAUCCACACUGCAAGAGGCUGACAGUCUCUCUAUCCCCAUGAACUUCCUACCCUCUUUAAGGACUGGUGUACCUUGGAUCCUUCAUCCCAGUUAACAUGAUGUUAGGACACUUCUCUCAGCCCAGAGGACCAUGGGAUCUGGAACUGCCUGACCUCAUCACUUCCCCUCAAUGUGCAGAUCCUCUCCUUCCUCUGCUGAUGUAGCUGUGCAGCUACACUUAAGGAGAGGAGGGAGGCAGACAUAAAGCAAUGUGCUUUCAGGUUUCCCCUCCCCAAACCAUUGCUCGAGGCUGUGCAGGUAAUAGUGCUAAAGAGGAGGGGAGAGCAAAGGCAUGGGACACGUUGAGCCACAGACGAGGCAGACACAAGGAAUACAGCUGCAUUAGUGGCUGCUCUUUAGGUAUCAUUUUGUGCUGCGCAUAUUUGACAACUGCAAAAUUAGAACAGCAGUAGAGACUGAAAACUGCUGCAAAAUUCCUAAGCCCAGGAAGCAAAGGUAGAGUCCUGAUAGAGGCUUGUGCAACAUCAGGCAGGUUCAAAUUAAUCCUUGAAAUAAUACCUCUAACUUCUAUCACAGCUUGAUUUGUCUAGGACUGCAAGAAGGCUGCUCAAUAGAAAGGUUUAAUUUAAUUUACGUCUGAUUUCUCUGGUGUACAUCAAUUGCUUAUAUGUGACCAUGAAUUUAACAUAAUCCUGAAAGCAGUUAUGGGAUAAAAUAAACCAUCAACUUGCUGGCAUAAGGAAAUACUGGUUUAGAUAUUCCCACUAUUAGAAUCAGUUCUUUUUUUAAUACAGCACUUUCAAAGCAAGAAAGUAAACAUGAGAGCAAAAUAAGUGGCAAGCACAGCUCUAGAGAGACCUCAGUUUAUCUGUAGGAAGAAGACAAUGGUACUUGGUGAGUUUUUUUGGGAUGCUCAGGAGUAAAGUAGAUAUCAUGUAGGACACACUAUCCAAGACAGCUGUGCUCUCACAGCUGGGAUCAAGUCACCAGCCCGAGACAUUUUCUGUCCUCUCCCAACCACAAGGAUAACUGUUUCCCAUGACAAAGGAACCUGCUGUCCCAGCACCAGACCCUACAGCUCUAACAGUGGUGCAUUCUCCUAAGCCUGCUUGGCCUGCCUUGUUUGCAGGUGGCCUUUGAGACAGUAUCAGAACAACCCAGCACAGCAUGGCAGUGCCAGCAAAAUUCACUGGGAGAUUUGUUUUAGCAAAGUCUAAAAAUGCAAAGAAUUGCAAGCCUGAUUCCUUGAAGGUUCAGGAUUUAAUGAGCACACCCUGAGUGAACUUCUCCCCCACCCCCUGCUCUGUACAGCCUUCUGUUGUUUUAUUUAGUUAUUUCAAACCCUCCUCUGAUGUUAAAGCCUUUGAGACAACUUCAUUUAUCUCCCUAAUACUCUCAAAGUCUACUCUCUAUUUUCAGAUCUCAGUUCCUCUGACACAUUCUGGCCUUUUCCUAGAAUGCACUUUAAAGAGUAUUCCUAAAGUUUGCCAUCAAUCGACCCUGCCUGAGUAAUAUUACAUUUCUAAUUAUUCUACCCUGUAUAAUGCACUGAAUUUGCUUCCUAUUUCCUUUGUCCAGGGCUCUUUUGAUUUCUUUUUUUUUUUUUUCCCAAAAACCCCAAAAACUCCUCUGCCUCCUUUUUCCAUCUAGCCAAGAUGAACUGAGUUUUCCUUUGUUCCAUUCUUGUUCUAUAUUGAGAUAUUCUUGCCUGAUUUUAUGUUAUACAUCCAUCCCAAGGCAGUAAAAAAUCAUCAUCUUCUGCUGUAUUGUGGUACACAAUACAGUGCCAAAAUGUCAGAGAGCAUCCUACACAUCAGAGACUGGAGCCUAGAGGAUUUACAGGAAGAGCUGGGAUCACAGGGGGACAUAGACCUUUAUUUGCAGUGUCGCUUCUGGGUGCUUCUAUGGUCAUUCCUACCAACCACACAUUGUCUGCAGUUUGGUACAUCCUAGCGCAACCCUCACAGCCAGCCUGGCCAGAGGCAAGUGAGGAAGGGGGCAAGAGGAAGGAAAUUUGGGUUGCACAAGUAGACUGAAAAGAGAAGGACAAGCACAGCAUGAGGUGGAUAAGGGACAGGGAAAUCUGGAAUGGAGGGGCAGCUGACAGGAGGCUGGUCCACAGGGUGGCUGUGGGAAGUGGGAUGGGAGGUGUCCUGCAGCAGUGCAGGCACGAGCCAGGCUUUUGAGAGAGGACUUGGUUUUCAGAAUCAGCAGCUGGAGUUGCAUCUUCUGACACCUUUAUAGACUCCACAGGGCACUCAUGGACCUUGCAAAAUGCUUCCUUUCUGCUUCCCUUCUGCUUCCCAACUACCUCCUUCUGCCCUGCUCCAAGAAAAAAAGUCAUGCUGGUCCUGCCAGCCAGUAACUACUCACCAGCCAGCUCCAUUUCCUGGGGACCAGAUGAAAAAAUCCUCUUCCUGGAGUCACAACUGUGCCAUAUGCUGCUGAGCCAAUGCUGUUCUGUGCCUCAGAGAUGGACACACUUCACACAGUGACAGUAAUACUCUUUCAGAUGAAAAUACAGUUUACAAGAGGAAGUAAGUUAAUUCAUAAUUAACUCGAGAUGCCUGAGCCCAAGACAAGGAACACUUUUUAACUGGCAGCCAGAUGGCUUUGUGGGCUCUGUUCCUUAAACCAUUUAUCAGCUUUUCAUCUCAGAGACUGCCAGUCAAACAGCAGGCCCUGAAAAUUAUCCUACCACCUCUCUGGGAGGGUAUUUUUGUAUAGAGGUCUUGUUGGAUUUCCAAACUUUAUGUAAGUAGCUUAAUUUACUACAGCCAGACUUUCUUUACUAAGGGAAUGUAGGACAGAGACUUCUGCUUUGCAUGGAAGACACCUCUUCAGGGUUGCAGCUUUAAGAUUUCCUUCUCUUCCUUACCUAAAGGAAAAUGAAAAGUUUUUCUUUGAGCCCCCUUGUGUCUGUUACAGACACAACUCUCCACGUCUUUGCUCUUUGGUGUGUAUGCCUUUGUAACAAGCUCUCUCACAGCCCUGCAGUCUCCUUGACCUACUGUUGCUAGAAACAUAUUCUACUGGAACUACUAAAGAUUUCCUCUUCUGUACACAAAAUUAAUACUCUUCCUAGAGGAAAAUCAUAGCAAUGAGCAUCUUCUGCUGUGCACCUCUACACAGAUGCAUGUGAAAAUGCUGACUUCAGAUAUGAAGCAUUUGAUGCCCCAUGCAGUGUUGAUUCCAGAAAGUCAGAUUUUAAGGCCCAUGGAAAUUUCUCUCCCCACCUCCUUCAUGGCAGAAGCCAGAAACUUCUCCCCAUGAUUCCUGCAUUUGAGGCCAAAGGACCUGCAAUCAAAGGAGUUGCCCAAUUAUUCCAAUGGUUACAAUGCCUUUAUCAUUACGGAUCAUUUUAUCAUCAAAUUGUCACGGGAUGCUACUCUGCACUGCUCUGCUACACUGAAGAGCCAUCAAGUUCUGUUUUUGAUCAUCUUACUCAAUUUUUCUCUCCAUGCUUUUUCAAACGAAAUGGAUACUAUAAGGGGUUGGGUUUUUCUGUUUUUUUAUAGAAACACUUUAUUGCUGCAGUCAAUAACCCUGUGUAUCACACACAAAUAACCAAUUACAGUUUAAGAAACUAAAAAUAAUUCUGCAAGUGGUAAUACUGAGAAAACGAACAUACAUGAAAGGAUACAAAACUAUACAUUAAGUUACUAGAAAUUUAAUAACUAAAAAAUUCUGCAGAAAUAUGAAGUGUCUUGUAUAAACGUUAUACAACACAUGCCAGUGUAAAGUUCUUCAACAUUAUACAAUUACCUAUCUACAAAUGUUUUACCUAAAUACAAGAUUAGCUGCAAUUUUUAAACAGUUAUCUUCUAUACAAAGACAAGUGCUUUCAGUACUUCAUUGGAAUAUACAGACACCGCAAUAUGUCAAAACUAAAAAAUAAUCACAAAAUAAAAGGUCCCACUUAGAAAUUUUCUUAGUGUAUCUAAUACAACACUAAGGAAAUCCAGCCAGCAAUAUCCUUGCUUUUGUAUUUACCCUUUUUGACCCAUAUCUGAGAGGGACCCAACCCAGAGUCACUGACCUCCCCCCUUUCAUUGCUGGCCAGUCUCCAGAGCAGACCACACCAGAAAUCCGUAUCUUAACACGCAUCAGCUUUAGGAGAAAUUUGGACCUGGUUCCUACUUUGCAAUAGAUACAUAUUCUGCCACACACAGGGCAGAAGCAACCAGCUCCUGUGCAUGGUGAUAUCCAUGCAUCACUUCCAAGGUUUCCCACGAGAGGCAGGCCGAGCAGCCCCCUUCCUUACAGCACCAAGUGGGCCUCGUGCUCUGAUCAGUACAGAGGCUUGGCUUGAACAGAGUUAUGACUGCUUGCCAGGAACUCCCAGGUACAGCACAGAGGCCCAGUACUUCUCUAACUGCUCGCAGGCUCAUUCAGACUUCACUGAAUGCCUCCUUGCUGAAGCAAAGCCCAUCUCAGUGACACUCAACCAGAGGGAACUGUCCCAGGGUCUGGCCAUCUCUUUUUAAACACCACUCUCACUCCCAAAACACAGGCUUACAGUUGAAAAAAGUCCUGAGAAUCCACAGGAAUUUAGUAUCUCAUCAGCUCUUAAACAGGAUCAACCUUCUGCAGCACACACCUAUAUUUCUAACAUCAUGCAUGUUCAUGACCUGGCAGAUUCAUCAAAUGUGACACAGCAGGGGAAUUUUCUUGGCCCAGAUGGUGUCUUUUUGGACAGGAGUGCUGUCAAUAGAAUGGGGUCGAUUAUCUGGGGUAUUGGACAUGUCAGCAAAGGCUCUGGCAGUCUGGGGAAGGGACUGUAGCACAUGGCAUUAAGCCUAUGCUCUCUCCUACUUAAAUUCUGGUCUCAGGAAAGUCUCACGGUAACCCAAGCUAACAUUGGCCAAGGUACAAGGACCAGGCUUUUAUUUCAGUCAUUUCAAAAGCUGCCAGAAGGAAGUACUAGAAAGCCUGAUCUAACAGGGGGUGAUUGCUCCCCUUACUGACAUCUGAAUGGAAAGGACAGAGCUCACCUGAGCUGGCAUCAGUGCCUCACAGCUGGAAGCUGAAAAAAGUCAACAAUAUCUUCUUGAGGAGAAAGAAGAGAAAAGCACCAUUCAGCCUUCUCAAACAUUUGAUGGCACCAUGCAGAAGCAGAGAACUGCAUCUCCAGAAGCCCACCAUUAACACCAAGCAAGAAUCAGCAUGAGAAAUGUCACCAGAAUAAAUGAAACCCCCUGACAGAUGGAUCUCUUCUGCAGCUUUUCCUGGUAUGAGCAUUCCUAAGCAGUAUAAAGAGUUUAAAUAAUAGGCCUUAAUUUUCAUUCCAAAAAGAACUGUUGGGAGAGGGAAUUGUUAGCAGCAACACUGGCUAAAACAUUUUCAUUCACAAGUAUUUUUCCCCGGGUGAUUUUGCUGGAGAAGAUUUUUCUUUACAAGUUAAGAUACUCAGGGGCACAGCAGAAACCUUCAGUACCCUGAAUACACUGAACAACACCUGGAACAUUCCACAUGCAGCUUCCAAAACACUGAAUGAGAUUUUGCAAUGUUUCACCUAGAAUCAUGUACAACAGUGACUGAAGCAGAACCGGCAAGUUACAGUGUGCUGUAUCUAUCGGCCAUGUCAGAACAUUGCUCACACCUCAGAGCUGCUCAGGUGAGCUGGAGAACAGCCAGGUUUCACACAGGACUUGGCCAUCUUCAUUGCAUCGGCCGUGUCAGAACACUGCUCACACCCCAGAGCUGCUCAGGUGAGCUGGGGAACAGCCAGGUUUCACACAGGACUUGUCCAUCUUCAUUGCAUCGGCCGUGUCAGAACACUGCUCACACCCCAGAGCUGCUCAGGUGAGCUGGGGAACAGCCAGGUUUCACACAGGACUUGUCCAUCUUCGUUUCACCCGCCGGCUGCAGACGGGAUGAGCACGUGCACAGCAUCGCUCGGCAGCUGAUCCUGUGCACCUCGCAGCUGUAACGUGAGCAUCUCACAGACAGGCAGGCCUGUGCACUUGGGCAUUUCAGAAGGACAUCAUGAAGGUGUGCAUGACCUUAUACUUAACCCACCUGAGUUUAUCUAGUGAAUCUUUCACAGAACAAAACAGAAAACAAAACGAGACAGUGUAUUAUCUGGGUUCUCAAAAUAGAAGAGGAUCACCCACAGCAGAGUUCAGGAAAGGUCUUGAGUAAUUGCACUUUGAAUUAUGGCAGGCACAGGCAACAAACUCUGCAUGUGUAUGGUCACAAAGACUGCCCCAAUACUAGCAGGGAAUGCAGGGUUUAUCUGCCUGUAUCACUUAAGCAUGGGACAUCCUGACAGCUAGUACAGUACACAAAUCCAUGCCAGUGCAGCUUUACCAGGACUGCCCAGAGGUCUGGAUGUUUUAACACAUCUCAAGAACAAGGUACCACAUUGUUCAUGAAGAUCACAGACAGUAAGCUUCAAGCAUGAAGUGACAGAGGCACACGUGCUUUUCCUCUAACAGCUUCUAGAAACCACUGGGAUAAGUGUUCUCUUACCAGAGUCCCUUCUCUGCCUUCUAUUAAAAUAUUGAUUUAGAAAUAAAUUAAUAUUACAUUUUAAGGAAAAAAUCCCUGAUCUCUUACUGUUAUAUUUUAAGAAGUCUUAAAGCAGCUGCUUUUACUACGAAAAACUGUACCCAAAGUUGUACUUCAAAAAUACUAAGUGAAACUUGAACUAGAGCUAAGAAUUUAGUUCACUAUCUCAACAAGUAAA